rnacentral:rRNA from 1 species
AGCAGUCGCCGCGGUAAUACGGAGGGAGCUAGCGUUGUUCGGAAUUACUGGGCGUAAAGCGCACGUAGGCGGUUAUUCAAGUCAGAGGUGAAAGCCCGGGGCUCAACCCCGGAACUGCCUUUGAAACUAGAUGACUGGAAUCUUGGAGAGGUCAGUGGAAUUCCGAGUGUAGAGGUGAAAUUCGUAGAUAUUCGGAAGAACACCAGUGGCGAAGGCGACUGACUGGACAAGUAUUGACGCUGAGGUGCGAAAGCGUGGGGAGCAAGCAGGAUUAGAUACCCCGGUAGUCCCUGUCUCUUAUAC